rnacentral:rRNA from 1 species
GACGAACGCUGGCGGCGUGCUUAACACAUGCAAGUCGAACGAAGAGCGACGGAAGCUUGCUUCUAUCAAUCUUAGUGGCGAACGGGUGAGUAACGCGUAAUCAACCUGCCCUUCAGAGGAGGACAACAGUUGGAAACGACUGCUAAUACCGCAUACGAUCUAAUCUCGGCAUCGAGGAUGGAUGAAAGGUGGCCUCUACAUGUAAGCUAUCACUGAAGGAGGGGAUUGCGUCUGAUUAGCUAGUUGGAGGGGUAACGGCCCACCAAGGCGAUGAUCAGUAGCCGGUCUGAGAGGAUGAACGGCCACAUUGGGACUGAGACACGGCCCAGACUCCUACGGGAGGCAGCAGUGGGGAAUCUUCCGCAAUGGACGAAAGUCUGACGGAGCAACGCCGCGUGAGUGAUGACGGCCUUCGGGUUGUAAAGCUCUGUUAAUCGGGACGAAAGGCCUUCUUGCGAAUAGUGAGAAGGAUUGACGGUACCGGAAUAGAAAGCCACGGCUAACUACGUG